UACGUAGGGCGCAAGCGUUAUCCGGAAUUAUUGGGCGUAAAGAGCUCGUAGGCGGUUUGUCGCGUCUGCCGUGAAAGUCCGGGGCUCAACUCCGGAUCUGCGGUGGGUACGGGCAGACUAGAGUGAUGUAGGGGAGACUGGAAUUCAUGGUGUAGCAGUGAAAUGCGUAGAUAUCGUGGAGAACACCCGUGGCGAAGGCGGGCUUCUGGGUAAUAACUGACGCUGAGGUGCGAAAGCGAGGGGAGCGAACGGG
rnacentral:rRNA from 1 species